rnacentral:rRNA from 1 species
AUGGUUAAGCGAAGAAGAGCGCAGGGUGGAUGCCUUGGCACUGGGAGCCGAUGAAAGACGUGAUAAGCUGCGAAAAGCUUCGGGGAGGGGCAAAUACCCAUCGAUCCGGAGAUAUCUGAAUGGGGAAACCCGCCUGAGAAACCCUCAGGCAUCCAUACGCCAAUCCAUAACGUAUGGAGGGGAACCCGGGGAACUGAAACAUCUAAGUACCCGGAGGAAGAGAAAGAAACAUCGAUUCCGUAAGUAGCGGCGAGCGAACGCGGAAGAGCCCAAACCGGCAUGCGUGCAUGCCGGGGUUAAGGACCGCAGAGAGGAUCCAGGAAGGUUAACGGAACGGUUUUGGGAAAGCCGGCCGGAGAGGGUGAAAGCCCCGUACGUGAAAACCGGAAUGGCCAAGCGGGAUCCAGAGUACCACGAGACACGUGAAACCUUGUGGGAAGUCGGGGGGACCACCCCCCAAGGCUAAAUACUGCCCAGUGACCGAUAGCGCAUAGUACUGUGAAGGAAAGGUGAAAAGAACCCCGGGAGGGGAGUGAAAGAGAACCUGAAACCCUGUGUUUACAAGCUGUGGGAGCGCUGCAUAUGCGCGACCGCGUACUUUUUGUAGAACGGUCCGGCGAGCUGCGCCGGCUGGCAAGGUUAAGUGCCAAAGGCACGGAGCCGGAGGGAAACCAAGUCUGAAUAGGGCGUUUUAGUCAGCCAGUGCAGGCCCGAAACCGGGUGAUCUAUCCAUGUCCAGGCUGAAGCUGCCGUAAAAGGCAAUGGAGGGCCGAACCCACAUCCGUUGAAAAGGGUGGGGAUGAGGUGUGGAUAGGGGAGAAAUUCCAAUCGAACCCGGAGAUAGCUGGUUCUCCUCGAAAUAGCUUUAGGGCUAGCCCCGCAGGAGGUUCACGGAGGUAGAGCACUGAAUACCCUAGGGGGCGUCAAAGCUUACCGAAGGUUAUCAAACUCCGAAUGCCGUGGAACUGCUCUGCGGGAGUCAGACUGCACGAGAUAAGUUGGGCAGUCAAAAGGGAAAGAGCCCAGACCUCCAGCUAAGGCCCCAAAGUGUGUGUUAAGUGGAAAAGGAUGUGGGAUUUCGAAGACAGCUAGGAUGUUGGCUCAGAAGCAGCCAUACAUUCAAAGAGUGCGUAAUAGCUCACUAGUCGAGAGGUCCUGCGCCGAAAAUGUCCGGGGCUGAAACAUGCCGCCGAAGCUGAGGGAUGCACGUGAGUGCAUCGGUAGGGGAGCAUUCCUGCAGGGAAGAAGCUGUACCGUAAGGGGCAGUGGACAUGCAGGAAGAGAGAAUGCCGGAAUGAGUAGCGAGAGGAAGGUGGGAAUCCUUCCGGCCGAAUAUCCAAGGUUUCCAGGGUAAAGCUGAUCUGCCCUGGGUAAGUCGGGGCCUAAGGCGAGGCCGAAAGGCGUAGCCGAUGGACAACAGGUUGAAAUUCCUGUACUGCUGUAUGACAGAACUGUGGGGACACGUGUGGAGAGCAUAGCCGGGGAAUGGAAAGACCCGGGCAAGCGGGGUAGGAGUCCUGCCGGAAAAACCGCAGGGCAAUCCGAAGACGUGAUGCGGACCGAAAGAGAGUAGGGAAGUAUGCGAGCCAUGCGUCAAGAAAAGCCGCUAUUGUUCAUAGAGCACCCGUACCGUAAACCGACACAGGUGGAUGAGGAGAGAAUCCUAAGGCCGACGGAAGAAGCAUUGCCAAGGAACUCGGCAAAAUGACCCCGUAACUUCGGGAGAAGGGGUGCCCCAGAGAUGGGGCCGCAGAGAAUUGGCCCAAGCAACUGUUUAGCAAAAACACAGGUCUAUGCAAAACCGCAAGGUGAGGUAUAUGGGCUGACGCCUGCCCGGUGCUGGAAGGUUAAGGGGAGGGGUUAGCGCAAGCGAAGCCCUGAUCUUAAGCCCCAGUAAACGGCGGCCGUAACUAUAACGGUCCUAAGGUAGCGAAAUUCCUUGUCGGGUAAGUUCCG